GCCCGGCUAGCUCAAUCGGUAGAGCGUGAGACUCUUAAUCUCAAGGUUGCGGGUUCGAUCCCCGCGUUGGGCU
rnacentral:tRNA from 1 species